UACGUAGGGUGCAAGCGUUAAUCGGAAUUACUGGGCGUAAAGCGUGCGCAGGCGGUUAUGUAAGACAGAUGUGAAAUGCCCGGGCUUAACCUGGGAACUGCAUUUGUGACUGCAUGGCUAGAGUUUGGCAGAGGGGGGUAGAAUUCCACGUGUAGCAGUGAAAUGCGUAGAUAUGUGGAGGAACACUGAUGGCGAAGGCAGCUUUCUGGGUCAAGACUGACGCUCAUGCACGAAAGCGUGGGGAGCAAACAGG
rnacentral:rRNA from 1 species